GUUCACCAUUCGCGUCGUAGAAGGAGUGGUGCUGCCAUCUCUCUAAGUUUAAUCUGUGUGUGAAGAGAAUGUAAACAAAAUAUGUUAUUUUUUCGCUUAAGUUAAAUCCAUUGGUUCUCAUUGUUUUAAAGUGAUAUAGUGCGCAUCGAAAAAAUGAACACAUAUAACGGCUUUUAUUUAGGCUUUUUAACUGUUUUAGUUGAAUAUCGGAGUUGGUUUUGUGCCCGUAAGAAAGAAAAUAAAAUUUCUCUUCCGGUGCUAAUAAUCCGCAUAGAUCGUGUAGUUGAAAAGCUGUUCGGAUGGGUACGCAAAAACAAUCCCUGGACAUUUUUUUAUGCUGAUGAGAACAUUAACAAAAGGAAUUCGUUAGGCCGUGUGGUGCGAUAUGUUCCAGAAUGCAAAAAAAAGAAUAACGUUUAAUUCUUUCCCUAAAAUGUCAAAUUAAAACCGGUGGGUUCAACGACUCAAACUUAAAUUUGAAAAAACGAAAAUUUAUUUCUUUGCACCUUCACAAUAUAUUAUAUUGUCUACCAAGUAUGAAUCGUAUGUCUCGACGAUUAAAGAUUUUCAGCAAAAAGGAAGUUUUCGGUUUUCCAAACCGACUCAGGAUUCUCGUUUGUUUCAGAUGAGCUCAUGAUUAUCGCUUGUGAAAUCAAUAUAUUCAAUCCGAAAUUGUAUAAUAAAAGAUUCGUUAACAUUU